AUUUUACACAGCAAGAAUGGCCAAGAGGGACGUAAUAAAUUUUAUACAAUCGCUCAGAUUUGGGCUUUUAGAUAUCAAACGUCCUGAUAAUUACUUGCGGUUUCUGCCUGAGCAAUCACCAAGAACACAACCUGCUCCUAAUCUACCAGAUGGUCCAAAUCACAAGCUGUCAAGCAAUUACUAUCUAACUAGGGAUGCUCGCCGCCUAGUGACUCCACCUGAGGAGAUCAUGUCAGGGGGUCGCAAACUUCUGGCAGACGCCUCAGGAGAGAAGGGGUAUGUACCUUAAGUUUCAGCAGACACAACAUAUUAAUGCUUACAGUUGGGUCAGUCCCUUGUUCUUUAAGAAAUGGAAUUCUUAAAUGAUGAAAAAUGACGAAAAAAAUAUCUUAUUGAAAAUUAGGUAUUCAGAUUACUUUUUCAUGUGAUUUUGAAUUGAAUUCCAAAAAUGCCAAAUUUCUACCAUAUUCAAAGAUUUGAAGUAUAGACAGUUCCUUUCAAAAGAUUUGAACUGUGUUCUUGGCAUUAACCUCUGCAAGAGACAGAUCUAUUGGUGUAUCCCUGUAUAUUAUUUUUAUUUUUUUUUUUAUUUAACUAAUAAAUUUUACAAAGUCUGCGACAUGUACCUUGUGUAAUUAUUAGGUAGAGGGUAUAUAUUUUUAUAUUAUGAGAAAAAUAUAUAACAUCAGGUGCCUGUGAUAUACAUGUACCGGUACCUGGUAUAUUUUAUACCUGUGAUACACAUGUAUCUACUUACCAACCUGUGAGAAAAUAACAAAAUAUUUAAUUAAAUUUUAGCAAUUAGUUUUAGUUAUCCACGUUAUCAAUUGUAUAUCACAUGAUUUAUGAUAUCUACUUCAGUCUUAUCAAACACAAUAGAGUCUUUUUUUACUAGCAAAUUGGUGCACGUAAUCAACUUGUAUAUGGUUAUAUGGACAAUUAAUGAUUAGAAAAUAUUGUCAAUAAUAUACACAAGAAUGCAUGUAAAAAUUUUCACAAGCAAUUUUAAUUUUUUUUCUGUUAUAAUUGCAGGGAGUCAGCUAAAGGAAUAAAAUCUAUCACACCGGGAGACCAUUACAUACCCACUGCUGUUGAGCUCCCUUACUAGAAUGUGAUUUAAUUUGUGUAAAUAAAUAUGUUAUUAUAGAC
rnacentral:misc_RNA from 1 species